CUAAUAAUUUAGAAAAUUUGAUUUCAUUGACCUAAGAAUAAGAAAAAAAGUUGACCUACAAGCUGCAAAUCCUCCCAUUGACUUCAUCAAGUCAUGUAGAGGAUUAGAUACAAGCUGGUCUAAAGACACCUAAAUCAGUCACACUGAUUAACCUUGAUAGCAUGGGUCAGCACAAAUCAACUAGUGACAUAAUCAAAAUAUAAUCUAUCAUGUUGGCC
rnacentral:lncRNA from 1 species